GGGACACGUGGUAUCCUGUCUGAAUAUGGGGGGACCAUCCUCCAAGGCUAAAUACUCCUGACUGACCGAUAGUGAACCAGUACCGUGAGGGAAAGGCGAAAAGAACCCCGGCGAGGGGAGUGAAAAAGAACCUGAAACCGUGUACGUACAAGCAGUGGGAGCCUCUUAAUGGGGUGACUGCGUACCUUUUGUAUAAUGGGUCAGCGACUUAUAUUCUGUAGCAAGGUUAACCGAAUAGGGGAGCCGAAGGGAAACCGAGUCUUAACUGGGCGUUAAGUUGCAGGGUAUAGACCCGAAACCCGGUGAUCUAGCCAUGGGCAGGUUGAAGGUUGGGUAACACUAACUGGAGGACCGAACCGACUAAUGUUGAAAAAUUAGCGGAUGACUUGUGGCUGGGGGUGAAAGGCCAAUCAAACCGGGAGAUAGCUGGUUCUCCCCGAAAGCUAUUUAGGUAGCGCCUCGUGAAUUCAUCUCCGGGGGUAGAGCACUGUUUCGGCAAGGGGGUCAUCCCGACUUACCAACCCGAUGCAAACUGCGAAUACCGGAGAAUGUUAUCACGGGAGACACACGGCGGGUGCUAACGUCCGUCGUGAAGAGGGAAACAACCCAGACCGCCAGCUAAGGUCCCAAAGUCAUGGUUAAGUGGGAAACGAUGUGGGAAGGCCCAGACAGCCAGGAUGUUGGCUUAGAAGCAGCCAUCAUUUAAAGAAAGCGUAAUAGCUCACUGGUCGAGUCGGCCUGCGCGGAAGAUGUAACGGGGCUAAACCAUGCACCGAAGCUGCGGCAGCGACACUAUGUGUUGUUGGGUAGGGGAGCGUUCUGUAAGCCUGUGAAGGUGGCCUGUGAGGGUUGCUGGAGGUAUCAGAAGUGCGAAUGCUGACAUAAGUAACGAUAAAGCGGGUGAAAAGCCCGCUCGCCGGAAGACCAAGGGUUCCUGUCCAACGUUAAUCGGGGCAGGGUGAGUCGACCCCUAAGGCGAGGCCGAAAGGCGUAGUCGAUGGGAAACAGGUUAAUAUUCCUGUACUUGGUGUUACUGCGAAGGGGGGACGGAGAAGGCUAUGUUGGCCGGGCGACGGUUGUCCCGGUUUAAGCGUGUAGGCUGGUUUUCCAGGCAAAUCCGGAAAAUCAAGGCUGAGGCGUGAUGACGAGGCACUACGGUGCUGAAGUAACAAAUGCCCUGCUUCCAGGAAAAGCCUCUAAGCAUCAGGUAACAUCAAAUCGUACCCCAAACCGACACAGGUGGUCAGGUAGAGAAUACCAAGGCGCUUGAGAGAACUCGGGUGAAGGAACUAGGCAAAAUGGUGCCGUAACUUCGGGAGAAGGCACGCUGAUAUGUAGGUGAAGCGACUUGCUCGUGGAGCUGAAAUCAGUCGAAGAUACCAGCUGGCUGCAACUGUUUAUUAAAAACACAGCACUGUGCAAACACGAAAGUGGACGUAUACGGUGUGACGCCUGCCCGGUGCCGGAAGGUUAAUUGAUGGGGUUAGCGGUAACGCGAAGCUCUUGAUCGAAGCCCCGGUAAACGGCGGCCGUAACUAUAACGGUCCUAAGGUAGCGAAAUUCCUUGUCGGGUAAGUUCCGACCUGCACGAAUGGCGUAAUGAUGGCCAGGCUGUCUCCACCCGAGACUCAGUGAAAUUGAACUCGCUGUGAAGAUGCAGUGUACCCGCGGCAAGACGGAAAGACCCCGUGAACCUUUACUAUAGCUUGACACUGAACAUUGAGCCUUGAUGUGUAGGAUAGGUGGGAGGCUUUGAAGUGUGGACGCCAGUCUGCAUGGAGCCGACCUUGAAAUACCACCCUUUAAUGU
rnacentral:rRNA from 1 species